rnacentral:rRNA from 1 species
UACGAAGGGGGCGAGCGUUGUUCGGAUUUACUGGGCGUAAAGGGCGCGCAGGCGGCCAUUCAAGUCAGGCGUGAAAGCCCCGGGCUUAACCUGGGAGGUGCGCUUGGGACUGGGUGGCUAGAGAUCGGGAGAGGAGAGUGGAAUUCCCAGUGUAGAGGUGAAAUUCGUAGAUAUUCGCAAGAACACCAGUGGCGAAGGCGGCUCACUGGCCCGGUACUGACGCUGAGGCACGAAAGCGUGGGGAGCAAACAGG